GCGAACGUAGUGAUGGGAAUAGUAAAGAAUAUAUCUCAUGGGCAGAGAGUAAGCUCCCUGGCUGAAAGAGCUUAUCUUGAGUUAUUCUUGAACCCGCCCCUGAACGGUCAACGAAGAGUUGAACAGUUCCCUGCUGUUAUCCAGGGAUUAAGCCGGAUGCGCGGGGAAUAACCUUGUACAUCAACAAAAGGUGGUACCGCGGAAGUAAACUUUCGUCCUUUGU
rnacentral:ncRNA from 1 species